AUUUAGAGGAGCUUCAAAUCUAUUGUAUACUCCAAAAAGACUAAAAUAAAUUAUUUUCCAUUAUAUAUGUUUGGCAUUUUGCUACCACCUUUAUGUCUUAGCCUCCUUCUGAUACUUGUAUCUUUGUGAAGCUUGUUAAAUAUAUUUUCCAACAUUUUAAAUGUACUUGUGAAAUUUUUUAUCACAAUAGAAACAUUGUAUUGUAUAAAGGUGGAUAAUAUACAAAGACAUAAAUUAUUUAAUGUAAUGGAGAAUUUCAUUGUUUAAAAUUUUUACAGAUGUACAGAAAUACAAGAAGAAAAGGAAAUAUUUGGAAGUCUGCAUAUGAUCUAAGAUUCUUGUUUCUAUUUAUGUUCUCGUUCAAGAGGAAUUGAGUACUGGACCAGUGGAAAUUCAUUUGCAUAAGAACAACCUAAAUCCUCAAGAAGAAAGUGAUGAGGAGAGAUUUUGGCCUGUCAGUUAAACCUUUAAAGUACCAGUAUCAAGUGGCUUACAAAGCCAAAAUAGAAAACACUACAAACAAAACUGAUAACUGGGGAUCCAAGACACUUCAAGAAAAAGAGCUGCUGAAAAAUGAACUCACUCUACAUUCUUUGCAUUUGACAUAAUCAAUUCUAAGAAAUGACUGGACAUAGUUAUGUUCCCAGGUAAUUAAUAUUUUUUAUUAUUCUAUUGUUUAGAGUAAUAGCAUAGAACAACAUAUGUCGUAAUUAUAUGAGGUUUAAGCAAAUUAAAAAAUGUUAAUAGCAAAAAUUAGUCCAUAAUGCUUGUUUUUUGAAUUUUAUUUAUUUAUUUGAGAGAGAAUGAGCAAGCAUGAGUUGGGGGAGGAGCAGAGGGAGAGGGAGAAGCAGACUCUUCGCUGAAUAAGGAGUUCAGGCAGGGCUGGAUCCAAGGACCCCGAGAUCAUGACUUGAGCUGAAGGCAGACAUUUAACUGCCUGAGCCACCUAGGCACACCCAUAAUGUUUUUAAAAGUAUUUAAGUUUUUAACCAUUAACAGGGCAUUUUUAAGUAUUUUCUCUGUACAAUGAAAUAGGAAAACAAUCAUGAAUAACUUCAUUGUUAUAAAAAAAUAAACUUUG
rnacentral:lncRNA from 12 species